rnacentral:lncRNA from 1 species
ACAUGGACACCGGCUCUUCUGCAUUGUUUGUGAAAUAAGACUAUCUAUGUGCUCUCUCGUAUAUACUUGCACAUUUUUUACGUUUUGUUUCACACACUGCUGCAAAUAUUGGCUUGUCCCAUGAUGUAGUUGCACAAAAAUCAAUUAAAAUUUCACAGGUACAAGAUCUCCCUUUUCUUUAUCUUUGUUUAUGCUCUGUUAAACUAUGGAGAAGCUAAUUUUGCAAAGCUAAAUUUGGUGAGGGCCUGAGGGGAAAAGGGAAAGUCAAGGAGGGAGGAUCUGAAUAAGAGGAGAAAAGGAUCACCACUUUUUUCACCCUUGUUGGUGCUACCUGGUACAUUCUGUUAUGUCCUCCCACUUUCUUCUUUUUUCCACAGCAAAUUGUUCAAGAUCUGCUAUUAUUUCAUUUUGAUUCAUCUGCCAUGGCAGCCCUGGCGAUGGAGAUCCAGACUUGGGAGACCAUUGUUUCAUGGGGAAGAAGGUGGGUGCAUGCAAGGGCGGGGAAAAGGUUGGUGGCCAUGGAGCGUGAGUGCUUCAGAGGGAGGGAAGGGCACGUGAUGGCCUGGGGACCAUGUCCAGUGUGUGGCUUGUUGGGUUGACUCACAUCUGUUGCUACCACGGGAGCGCUUUCCUUUUUGGGAUGGGGGGACCGAAUCUUUCCUUUUUCUGACGGCCGCCCGGGAGCGCUAGCGAGCCAAUGGGCGCUCGCUAGACGCGUCCUUUAUUUUUUACUAGUAGAACCCUGUGCAUUGCCACUUGCCACGGACUCUAAAAAACUAUGCUACUCACUGAGCUACAAUAACCGAGAACAAUGCACAUCUCAGCUAGCACCUUUUUUUUAGAGUCAGUUAACACACAUCAUACCAUCAAAGAAAAUAAUAAUUGAC